GUUUGGAGUCCUUCUUCAGGCCAGAGGAGGCCAGCGAUGACGCGUGCUCCUUCAGGUCCAGCAGAGACGUCUGAGCACACGAAGCAAAGCGUUUCCACCUGAUUCAACCGGCACAGCAACCAUGACGACUCAUAAAGAAGUCUCCCUGCAGUAAGGUCAACCGCUCCUUCAGCUCCUUCAGCUCCUUCUUGGUGCACUCCAGCUCCUCCGUCUUCUCUCGGUCGUCUCGGUCUCGCUGCUCCUUCAGUCGUUCGAUGAUGCGCUCCUACAACAAACGCAAGAGACUCCUCCAGCGUUGUGAGAGCAGUGUCCGUGUUGGAAGUGUCGGCCUGCAAAGACUUCACUCUCUCCUUCAGGCUGCUCAUCUGCUUCUCCUUGUCCCUAAGCUGCUCCUGCAGGUUCUCAAUCUUCAGA